GGGGCUGAUUUUUGGAUUCGACAUAAUUAUGAAACUUUUGGUAGCAUGUCAAGGUUGUACGGUUGGCCUUGUAAAAAAACGUAUAAAUUUAGUUGCAAAAAACAAAAACUACGCUUUAGCAGCCUAAAAAACUGUAAAAGUCCUGUUACUUAUUAUUUUUCUCUUUGAUAAAAGUUAAUGGGUCAUAUAUAAAAGAGAUCGUAUAUAAUUUGUCUAGGAUUAUAUAUUAAAAUAUAGACUAUACGAUAGUGUAACUUUGUUCAUCAGUUCUUUUCGUUGAAUAAAAAGAUGAUACUAAACAUGUAGAUACCUAUAGUAUAAUAAUUUUGGACGGGGGUUCGAAUCCCCCCAGCUCCAUUA
rnacentral:tmRNA from 1 species